CCGUUUUUAUGAUCCCCAACUUUGCGUAUUAACUCUAAGUUCUUUCGAUCGAAUUUAUGAUCCCCGACUUUGCGUAUUAGCUCUAAGUUCUUUUGGCCGUUUUUAUGAUCCCGACUUUGCUUAUUAGCUCUAAGUUCUUUCGGUCAUUUUUAUGAUCCCCGACUAUGCGUAUUAGCUCUAAGUCUUUCGGUUGUUUAUAUGAUCCCCGACUUUGCGUAUUAGCUCUAAGUUCUUUCGCUC
rnacentral:lncRNA from 1 species